UACGGAGGGUGCGAGCGUUGUCCGGAAUCACUGGGCGUAAAGGGCGCGUAGGUGGCGAUCCAAGUCCAUGGUGAAAGCUCGAUGCUCAACAUCGAGUCGGCCACGGAUACUGGGUUGCUUGAGCACUGUAGGGGCAGAUGGAAUUCCGGGUGUAGCGGUGGAAUGCGUAGAGAUCCGGAAGAACACCGGUGGCGAAGGCGGUCUGCUGGGCAGUUGCUGACACUGAGGCGCGACAGCGUGGGGAGCAAACAGG
rnacentral:rRNA from 1 species